rnacentral:rRNA from 1 species
UCAGUCGACUCCUACGGGGAGGCAGCAGUGGGGGAAUAUUGCACAAUGGGCGCAAGCCUGAUGCAGCCAUGCCGCGUGUGUGAAGAAGGCCUUCGGGUUGUAAAGCACUUUCAGUCGUGAGGAAGGUGGUAGUGUUAAUAGCACUAUCAUUUGACGUUAGCGACAGAAGAAGCACCGGCUAACUCCGUGCCAGCAGCCGCGGUAAUACGGAGGGUGCGAGCGUUAAUCGGAAUUACUGGGCGUAAAGCGCAUGCAGGUGGUUUGUUAAGUCAGAUGUGAAAGCCCGGGGCGUCAACCUCGGAAUAGCAUUUGAAACUGGCAGACUAGAGUACUGUAGAGGGGGGUAGGAAUUUCAGGUGUAGCGGUGAAAUGCGUAGAGAUCUGAAGGAAUACCGGUGGCGAAGGCGGCCCCCUCGGACAGAUACUGACACUCAGAUGCGAAAGCGUGGGGAGCAAACAGGAUUAGAUACCCUGGUAG